rnacentral:lncRNA from 1 species
AACCCCAUUUAAGCUUUACUAGCUUUUCCAUUAAUGUCUUUUUUUUUUGGCUCCAGGAACUGAUUCAGAAUCCCAUAUCACAUUUUGUUAUUACUUUUGCCUGGUCUCCUGCUGUCUGGAACAGUUUUUCAGUCUUCCUUCAUUUUCAAGAGUGUGAAAGGAUCCCAAGACCAAAAGUCUGGGAACUGCUGGUUUAGAGUCACAAUACUGACUGCUCAAAAUGACUUUUUAAAGAAGAAAGCCUUAAAAACCCUUGAGUGAAUGGUUGGUAUUUACAGACAAGCAAAUGUAUGGAAGAAAAACAAGAGACCCAGCCUGAAUCUGUUGAAUGAACGAAAGGGGAAAUGCCCUAAGGAGUCAGAUGGAAGAAGUUUUUCUGGGAAGAGCAGAACACAGGAGUUGGGGUGCAGACCUCCUGGAUCACCAGCAGAAGGAAAAGAGCAGCGAGACGUUAAAGUGAUUGAGACAAAAAUGGAAGUAAAACAGCUUAAGGCUUUCUGAGAUCGAGUUCCUGGCAGUGUCAUCAGCAGAUGGUUUCUUCUGAAGUUCAGGGGAAGAGAAGAUGCUCGAAGAACUCUCCAGGGACUGAGUGGGUGGUACAGAGCUAGUGCUGUAGAUGCCACGUAUACAGGCAAAUUCCCCAAUGAGUGUUUUCCAAUAUCAAGUUUAACUGGCAUUUAAGAUAUAUGCCAAAGGUUUUUCCCAUGGUGUUCCCUUUCCAAUGUCUUUCUGGAAGUCACACAUUGACCACUAACAACAGGAGAGAGGACAAAGAAAGUCAGCAAGAGACUAUUUCCAAUGCGAAAUAUGAUCAGCUAACUCAACACUCUUUUCUUGGGCAUGUGGGGUGGGCAAAGGUGGGAUGCCCUUCUGAAGGGUGCAAAGAAGCUAGCUCAUCCUUUGGAAUGACACUUAAGCCUCCCAAGUUAUUUCUAUCUUGGAUAAUAAGAAUUCUGGUUUUGAAAUGAAUGGUUG